UAGAUUUGGGGUGUCCUUCCACAAAACAAGAAACUAAAACCCAAAGAAGCUAUGAAUGUGUACGAGGAGAAAAAACAGUUAUACAAACUAGCGUUGAGGGGAGAAUGGAGGCAUCUGCGCGAGGUAUGUAAGGAUGCGAGUCAGUUAGUGUUGCCGAUCAAUAACAGUGGAGAGACGGCGUUGCAUUUGGCAGUGUACAGUGGAAAGGGAGAACCUUUAAAAACAAUUCUUGAGCAGGUGAUGGAGAUGGAUUACAUAGAGUAUUGGAAGAGCUACGUUGAAAACACACCUCUACAUGAAGCUGCCACUGUGGGGAAUUUGGAUGCUUUCAAGCUUUUGGUUGAGUUCAGGAAGGAGGAUUUGUUGGAGUUGAACAAGCGGGGUGAAACGCCUUUGUAUAGGGCAGCCAGAUAUGGGCAACUUCAGAUCGUUGAAUAUAUUUUGAAUGAAUGUGAAGAUUAUUACUCUCGAUCUCCCCUAAAUUGGAUGGUAGAUGGUACUCCAAUCAUUCAUGAAGCCAUUCAGAGCGAGAGCUUUGAGAUGGUUAUGAUGUUGGUGGAUUUCGACAAGUCACUGUUGGAGAUGAAGGAUUCAAAAAACCAGACGGCUCUCCACGUGCUGGCCAAUAUGCCACACAUUUUUGAGAGUGGAUACCUGAAGGGAUUUUGGGGAGAAUUGAUAUAUAAUUGGCUGCCUGAGGACAAGAUUUACCCAUUUAAUUUUUUUAAAUUGGGUAAACAACAAUGACCCUAAAAGUUCAAGUACCCUAAACGAGAAGAAUGGAGACUUAGAAGCAGCAUUUGUCUCUCAACAUAAUUGGUGUUUCAGUUUGGGUUCGGCAGGUGUAUACCUUAGACAAAGUUUGAAGAGGUUGUUUGGGAGAUUCAUCGUGCGAGGUUGGCCUGAAUGCAAAGAGCUGUAUAUGAAAAAGCAAAAACAUAAAUUAAUUCUAAGAAUCACGGAAAUGCUAGCGGACAUAGAUGUAUUAUAUUACCAGGAAAAACAGAAGUCCGACAGCAUUCGACCUAAAAUAUUUGAAUACAUAGACCAUCCUACCGAUGGCAAAGAUAUUGAAAACAUGGACCACGAAGAGACGCCACUGCUACUGGCCGCAGCCAGGGGAAUACUAGAAGUGGUUGAAAGGAUCGUGGAAGCCCACCCAGAGGCUGUGGACUACGUGACGACACAAGACAGAAACAUUCUACAUGUCAUCAUUGCACACCGACAGCUCAAGAUCUUUGAAUGGUUUAAAACUAGAGAACUUCUCGUGCACAGACUGGCCAAGAGGAUCGACGUGUUGGGCUACACAAUACUGCACCAUGUUGGAAUCACUCAAUUCCUCCAUGAAUCCACCCAUGGUCCAGCAAUACAGCUUCAACAUGAGCUCGAGUGGUUCGAUCGCAUCCGCAAAGUGCUUCCGGUGCUUUACACCAUGCAUUAUAGCAAUAAUAAACGGAGACCCCGGGAAUAGUUCAAUAAAACUCACAAGGAUUUGCUAGAUAAAGGCAAAGAAUGGGUCAAGAAAACCUCCG